GCUGGGUAUGGUGGCACAGGCCUGUAGUUCCAGCUUCUCAGGAGGCUAAGGCAGGAGGGAUCGCUUGAGCCCGGGAGUUCUGGGCUGUAGUGAGCUGUGCCAAUUGAUUGUCUGCACUAAGUUUAGCAACCUGUGGGAACCACCAGGUUGCCUAAGGAGGCUGGAAUGCCUAGGUCAGAAACAAAGCAGGAGUUGAUCAGUAGUGGGAUUGUGCCUAUGAAUGGCAACUGCACUCCAACCUGGCAACAUAGCAAGACCUCUACA
rnacentral:SRP_RNA from 1 species